ACAUUCUCUUUCUUCCUCUCAAAUGGCUGCAACAAAAAUAUAAUAUUUCUCACUCUAAAACUCUCAAACCUCUCUCUAAUCUCUUUGAACAUCAAAACACCAAACUUAGAUCCAUUUCUCAUUUUUUUCUUAUGUCUUCUCACUAAUUUAUCCUUUUUUUUUUUGCAGAUUUUUCAUUACAUGGUUCUCAUCUUUCACUCAUUCAAAUGUAGAUUUAUAAAUUUUGGAUUUGUAUUAUUGUGUGUUUUAUAUAUUAGAUUCUAAAAUGUUAUAGAUAUUCAAGUUAUUGUGACUGUUUUUUUUUUUUUUAUUUAAGCAUAAAAUUAUAUGUUUUUGAAGUUUUUCUAUGUUUUGAAGUCAUUUCAGUAUUUUUAAAUUUGCAGGUUUUUCAGAUUUGAGAUAGACUUUGAAAUACUUCUCAGAAGACUCUCGGAAGACUUCUCGGAAUACUUUAGGCCAGUAUUCUAAUGCAUUUUAUGCUAGAAGACUUCCCACAAAGACUUCAGGAAGUCUUCCGAAGUCUCUACCCAAAGUGAUACAAAUUUUGGAUAUGUAUUUUGUGUGUGUUUAUAUAUUAGAUUCUAAGAAAAUAUAGAUUCAAUCUAAUUUGAUUGUUUUGGCUAUUAUUUAAGCAUAAAUAAUUUAUUUGUGAAGUUUUCUCUGUUUUGAAGCCAUUUGAAUGCUUUUGAAAUGAAUAUUUUUUUCAGAUCUGAGUCAGACUUAGCAGACUCCUCAGAAGACUCUUAAAAGACUUUUGGAAGACUCUCGGAAGACUUCCUGGGUAGUUUUCCAAUGUAUU
rnacentral:lncRNA from 1 species